AGCGAACGCUGGCGGCAUGCCUUACACAUGCAAGUCGAACGGUAACAGGUCUUCGGAUGCUGACGAGUGCGAACGGGUGAGUAAUGCAUCGGAACGUGCCCAGUUGUGGGGGAUAACUGCUCGAAAGAGCAGCUAAUACCGCAUACGACCUGAGGGUGAAAGCGGGGGAUCGCAAGACCUCGCGCAAUUGGAGCGGCCGAUGUCAGAUUAGGUAGUUGGUGGGGUAAAGGCCUACCAAGCCGACGAUCUGUAGUUGGUCUGAGAGGACGACCAGCCACCCUGGGACUGAGACACGGCCCAGACUCCUACGGGAGGCAGCAGUGGGGAAUUUUGGACAAUGGGCGCAAGCCUGAUUCAGCAAUGCCGCGUGCAGGAAGAAGGCCUUCGGGUUGUAAACUGCUUUUGUCAGGGAAGAAAUCCUCUGGGUUAAUACCCCGGGGGGAUGACGGUACCUGAAGAAUAAGCACCGGCUAACUACGUGCCAGCCGCCGCAGUAAGAC
rnacentral:rRNA from 1 species